GUCCAGACUCCUACGGGAGGCAGCAGUGGGGAAUAUUGCACAAUGGGGGAAACCCUGAUGCAGCGACGCCGCGUGAGUGAAGAAGUAAUUCGUUAUGUAAAGCUCUAUCAGCAGGGAAGAAAAUGACGGUACCUGAGUAAGAAGCCCCGGCUAACUACGUGCCAGCAGCCGCGGUAAUACGUAGGGGGCAAGCGUUAUCCGGAUUUACUGGGUGUAAAGGGAGCGUAGACGGCAUGGCAAGUCAGAUGUGAAAGCCCGGGGCUCAACCCCGGGACUGCAUUUGAAACUGUCAGGCUGGAGUGCAGGAGAGGUAAGUGGAAUUCCUAGUGUAGCGGUGAAAUGCGUAGAUAUUAGGAGGAACACCAGUGGCGAAGGCGGCCUGCUGGACGAUGACUGACGUUGAGGCUCGAAAGCGUGGGGAGCAAACAGGAUUAGAUACCCCAGUAC
rnacentral:rRNA from 1 species